ensembl:lncRNA
AUGGGGUGGAGGGGAGCUCCGCACCACCGGCUCGGCUCACCCCCGUCCCACCCACACUCUGGCCAAGUUGGCCCCCAGCCCCCUCUGCCCCAGCACAGCAGCCUGGGACCUGACACCCCAAAGCCGGUCGGGCUCAGAGUCCUACCGGCCCUGCUCGUUAACGUCAGCCAGGCCCAUGUGACCUUGCCUAUGCUGGACGCUGCCCCCACCUCCUCUCUGUACCCCCCAAGACAUUGUAGCCAUUCCUGCUCUACUUCCCACCACCUACAGGACACAGCCUCCCACCCCAGUGCCAGUCCACUCCGCAGCCCAGGGAGUCUGCCAGCUACACUCCCGCUGCAGACAGAGGUGAAAGAGCCCCCAGAGGAGGGCGUCCCAGACCUGCCUGGAACCCGGGAAACAGCCUGCGCUCCUGGUCCCCUGGCCCACCCACCCACCUACCUGCGCGCCAACCCCACCCUGGGACCUCCUCUUUGGGUGGUCAGCAACAUCUCGAGACCAACAUCUGCACAGCCCAACGUUUAUCUGAGCCUGGUCUCACCUGCCGCCCCCCGGCCAUGGUGGGAGACAGGCCCAGCAGCGAGACGCAAGGUUCCGAGAGCAGAGAACAUAGGACAGAGGGAAGGCUGUCGGUCAGAUGAGGCGGGCAGGGCAGGACACGUGCCCCACCCAGCCAGCUCUAGUAGGCUGCUCGAGCACACGGCGGGCCCUCACCUGGCCCUCCUACGCCCCAGCAGGACCCUGAGGCCCUUCCAGGACUCACUCCAGCCUAGACAUGUGGGGACUGACCUGUCCUGA